rnacentral:rRNA from 1 species
UACGGGGGGGGGCAAGCGUUGUUCGGAAUUACUGGGCGUAAAGGGCUCGUAGGCGGCCAACUAAGUCAGACGUGAAAUCCCUCGGCUUAACCAGGGAACUGCGUCUGAUACUGGAUGGCUUGAGUUUGGGAGAGGGAUGCGGAAUUCCAGGUGUAGCGGUGAAAUGCGUAGAUAUCUGGAGGAACACCGGUGGCGAAGGCGGCAUCCUGGACCAACAUUGACGCUGAGGAGCGAAAGCCAGGGGAGCAAACGGG